rnacentral:lncRNA from 1 species
AUGUCAUGGAAAAUGAUGAGGUUAAGUGCGGGGCUUUUUAUUUUCUGUAUAUUUUUAUAGUGCUCUUGGUAUGUCUAAAGAAGUUGUUAUGCAUUCAGAAUGAUAUUUCUGAAUUGGUUAUGCAUAGUUUGAUUUAAAAAUCCAAAAAACAAAUUCCUUGGGCUUAGAGUUGACACUAAAAAGUAAUGCUUGUGUUUUUUCAGCACGUGCAAGCACAAAGUCCAUUCCGGGUCUUGCUAGGAAACACCCAGAGUUUACCCAGGUCAAGUUAAGCUAUCCUCACACAUAGGAAAAGCCCUCUGUUCCAGCAGUGGUGAGAUGCCUGCACAGUUGAUGUGUUACCUAUUUACUAAGAGAAAAAAAUUUACUAAGUUCGUCAAGAAUUUCACAAUCCUCUGAUCCUUUGGCUGUGAUCAACCUGCACCCAAUCUCAAACUCCAGUUUUCAUCAGACUCCAGAUCUCAUCACUUCCAGUGAUGAAUAAACAUUUUUCUCAACCUUUUAAAAUAUACUGCAUGUUUGGAUCUACUUGACCUUAAGGGCUUUACUCUGUGUGGUGUUAUUGGACCUCCAUAUUCCAGGAAAAUAGCCUACUUCAGUCCUCAGGGAUAGUGGGUGCAGGCCAGGCUGCAGCAUUCUCACAAAAACUAAGGUGAUUUUUGGACAUUGCAAGUAUAAGAUGGAGAGGUUGUGAUGAGAGGAAUGAGUAACAAUAUCACAACAGGGAAAAAGAAUCAAACAUUGAGUUAAAAGGAACCUGCUAGUGGAAAAACUGAGGUUCUGUAAACCAAUAUACAGAAUUUGGAUGCUAAGGAAAAUUAGAACUCCAUGACCAUUGGACAUUUGACCUCAAAAAAGAGAACAGCCUCAAAAGUGGAUAUGGACAACAAGCUUGUUGAAAAGGAUUACACAGAGGAGUCAGGAGGUCUACUUGAAUGGAAGUCAGGAGUACUUCACGAACCCAAAAACCAGCUGGAAAAACAAAGAAAGCUCAGUGACCUUGACUGAGAAGAAGCAGAUGAUGAUUAGAAGAAAGAAAAGAAAGAAAAGGGUAGAUCUUUUCCAUAGGUCUGUUUGGCCUUUGUGACACAAUAUGAUGGAGAGAAGGCACACUUGAAUAGUUUGCUUUGAAGACUGAGCGUCCUGAUUUAGCAAAUGCAGGCACUGCAAAGCAGUGUGGGACAAAACACCCAGUGAUUUCACUGCAACCAUCACUGUGCUUCAUAGACAGCUCUGCAGAGUUGGUCUCAUCCCAUCUACCUUCUUUCUUUACCUCCUACCUGCCUAAGAGCCAACACAGAUUGCCACAGUGUUAAUUCUAGCCAAUUCCAGUGGAAAAUAAGGGCAUAUGACAAGAGUGCACAUAUGUUAAUGACUCAGGCACCCUGAACGUUUUAUUUGUCAUUUUAUAUGUUGUUUGUUAC